rnacentral:rRNA from 1 species
GUGUCAGCCGCCGCGGUAAUACGUAGGUGGCGAGCGUUGUCCGGAAUUACUGGGUGUAAAGGGAGCGUAGGCGGGAAUGCAAGUUGAAUGUCAAAUCUAUCGGCUCAACCGAUAGCCGCGUUCAAAACUGCAUUUCUUGAGUGAAGUAGAGGUUGGCGGAAUUCCUAGUGUAGCGGUGAAAUGCGUAGAUAUUAGGAGGAACACCAGUGGCGAAGGCGGCCAACUGGGCUUUAACUGACGCUGAGGCUCGAAAGCGUGGGGAGCAAACAGGAUUAGAUACCCUGGUAGUCCACGCUGUAAACGAUGAUCACUAGGUGUGGGGGGUCUGACCCCUUCCGUGCCGCAGCUAACGCAAUAAGUGAUCCACCUGGGGAGUACGGCCGCAAGGCUGAAACUCAAAGGAAUUGGCGG